CCUACGGGAGGCAGCAGUGGGGAAUUUUGGACAAUGGGCGCAAGCCUGAUCCAGCAAUGCCGCGUGAGUGAAGAAGGCCUUCGGGUUGUAAAGCUCUUUUGUCAGGGAAGAAACGGUUGGGGCUAAUAUCUCCGGCUAAUGACGGUACCUGAAGAAUAAGCACCGGCUAACUAUGUGCCAGCAGCCGCGGUAAUACGUAGGGUGCAAGCGUUAAUCGGAAUUACUGGGCGUAAAGCGUGCGCAGGCGGUUUUGUAAGUCUGACGUGAAAUCCCCGGGCUCAACCUGGGAAUUGCGUUGGAGACUGCAAGGCUGGAGUCUGGCAGAGGGGGGUAGAAUUCCACGUGUAGCAGUGAAAUGCGUAGAGAUGUGGAGGAACACCGAUGGCGAAGGCAGCCCCCUGGGUCAAGACUGACGCUCAUGCACGAAAGCGUGGGGAGCAAACAGGAUUAGAUACCCGGGUAGUC
rnacentral:rRNA from 1 species